UACGGAGGGGGCAAACGUUGCUCGGAAUCAUUGGGCGUAAAGCGCACGUAGGCGGUCCGGCAAGUCGGAGGUGAAAGCCCUCGGCUCAACCGAGGAAGUGCAUCGGAAACUACCGGACUGGAGUAUAGAAGAGGAUCGCGGAAUUCCCGGUGUAGAGGUGAAAUUCGUAGAUAUCGGGAGGAACACCAGUGGCGAAGGCGGCGAUCUGGGCUGAUACUGACGCUGAGGUGCGAAAGCGUGGGGAGCAAACAGG
rnacentral:rRNA from 1 species